AACGAACGCUGGCGGCAGGCUUAACACAUGCAAGUCGAGCGCCCCGCAAGGGGAGCGGCAGACGGGUGAGUAACGCGUGGGAAUCUACCCAUCUCUACGGAAUAACGCAUGGAAACGGGUGCUAAUACCGUAUACGUCCUUCGGGAGAAAGAUUUAUCGGAGAUGGAGGAGCCCGCGUUGGAUUGGCUAGUUGGUGGGGUAAAGGCCUACCAAGGCGACGAUCCAUAGCUGGUCUGCGAGGAUGAUCAGCCACACUGGGACUGAGACACGGCCCAGACUCCUACGGGAGGCAGCAGUGGGGAAUAUUGGACAAUGGGCGCAAGCCUGAUCCAGCCAUGCCGCGUGAGUGAUGAAGGCCCUAGGGUUGUAAAGCUCUUUCACCGGUGAAGAUAAUGACGGUAACCGGAGAAGAAGCCCCGGCUAACUUCGUGCCAGCCGCCGCGGUAAUAC
rnacentral:rRNA from 1 species